UACAGAGGAGCCAAGCGUUGUCCGGAUUGACUGGGCGUAAAGCGCACGCAGGCGGACGCGCGCGUGGGGUGUGAAAAUCUGGCCGCUUAACGGCCAGGCGCCAUCCCAUACGGCGCGUCUGGAGUGAUGCAGAGGUCGAUGGAAUUGCCGGUGUAGUGGUGAAAUGCGUAGAGAUCGGCAGGAACACCCAGGGGGAAACCAGUCGACUGGGCAUCUACUGACGCUGAGGUGCGAGAGCGUGGGGAGCGAACCGG
rnacentral:rRNA from 1 species